AGUUGUUCCCUAUGGAGGAGGUGAGGUGCUGGCACAGGGUGGAUGCUCCAUCCACGGCCAGGUUGGACACAGCCUUGGUGACAUCGGAUCCUAGAGCCAUAGAAGGGGUUGGGAUGGAAAACCCAGUGGGUGAUCUGCGGGUCCUUUCCAACCCAACCCAUUCUAUGAUUCCAUGACUUUAUGACCAGCACCACUUUCCUUGGAUGCUGGCAGGGGAGCAGAGCUUCCUCUGCUCUCCAAACCUCUCCUCUUCCUCCAUUAGAUGACAGCUGGUUACCCGUGUACGCACUGGAGCGGGGCAAUGUGAAGCGCAUCGAGGCAUUUGUCAACACCCCAACCACGGUGAGCACAGCCAUUGCGAUGCUGAUGGGCGCUGUUGGGUGCUGCCUUCAACCCUAGCACUCUGGUACCCCCGUCCCUUCUCACACUCCCUGUUUGUGCCUCCAUCCUCCCUGGUUUCCAGUCUGAGCAUGAAAAGGUUGCAUUCCUUGAGAGCGUCUGCUCCCUGCUGAGCACAGCCAGGAUCUGCGGCUUGCAACAGGGCCUGGAUGUCUUCUGCCGUAAGAACCAACUCACAGAGACCAUCCAGACACUGCUCCAAGAGCAGCCCACGGACCGGCUGCGCACGGAGGUGCGGCAUCUCGCCAUGGAUGCGAUAGCGGAACUGAGCUCAGUGCAGUCAGGGCUUGCGGACCAAGGGAGAGGCCUCUUAGAGACCUGCUUCAGGAGCGUCUUCUUCCUGCCUCCGAAAGAGGAGUUUUCAAGCCUGGAUACCUACUACUACGUCCA